GGCCCUGUCCCACUUUGGAAACAGGAACCUGGAAACAUUUCCAGGAACAGUGUCUCCUCCUGGAAACAUUUCCAGGACAGUGUCCUGGAAAUGUUUCCAGGAGGAAGUUGAGGUACAGCAUAAAAUUUCAGCAUAUCCAGAUAAUUUGCCCUAGUCACUGUCACCUCAGUGAAGAAGAAAGCUCUAUUACUUAUAAGGCCUAUUACUUCAUUAACAUGCACUUCAUAUUCACUUUUGGCAAAUCUUGUUCCAGUUCACAAACCAUAUGUGGCUUUUUACCGCCCUAUAUGCAUUAAUUGUAUUCUGUUCAUUUUUCCACUUAUGUAAAAUGUUUCAUCAGAAAAGCACACUGCAUCCAGGAAAGAAUCAUACUCUUCAAUUCUGUCUAAUAUUUUCUUCUGCAAAGGAUUUUUGUUUAUGUUUGUCCUAAGAAUAAUUUGUUGGUGCAUCUGAAUGUUAUAGGCAUGUAGAUAUAAAUGUUUGUAGACAACAUCAUGGACAUGGAUCAAGAAAUGCCAAGUUCCAAACUCAUGCUCCAAAUAGACUUCUUGGGCUUCUUAUGAAUGUCAUACUAAUCCUUUCCACAUCUUCUGACACCUGCUUUGGAUAUUUUCCAAGUGUGGACAACAAGACUGCCCAUUUCUUGAAAUUGUUUUUUCCAUUUAACAAUGCUCACAUAUGUGGGAAUAUUACUGUGAUGUCCAAGAUUAAACUCAUACAGAAAUAUACAUUGCACAAGCUAUACAGAUUUUAUUUCCAUCAAUGAAAGAACAGAAAACUUUCUGCUAAAGACUCUAGACCCACAUCUUUGCUCACUCUGCAUAUGCACACUAUACCACUGCCAUGAUGUGAUGUUUUUCAUAAAUGGCCACAGAUAUUGUCGUCAUAUAUUUGCCCAAACUUCUUUUCUGACUCAAAUACAACAAAUGCUAUAAAUGUUUCUUUUCUUAUAGAUAUAAGCUAGACAUCCUGCAUAUUUUAUAUAUAUAGCCAGUCCUUUGAACCUCUAUAUAUUGAAUUGAGUAGUACUG
rnacentral:lncRNA from 1 species